rnacentral:rRNA from 1 species
UACGUAGGGUGCGAGCGUUGUCCGGAAUUAUUGGGCGUAAAGAGCUUGUAGGCGGUUUGUCGCGUCUGCCGUGAAAAUCCGGGGCUCAACCCCGGACUUGCGGUGGGUACGGGCAGACUAGAGUGUGGUAGGGGAGACUGGAAUUCCUGGUGUAGCGGUGAAAUGCGCAGAUAUCGGGAGGAACACCAAUGGCGAAGGCAGCACUCUGGGACGUGACUGACGCUGAGACGCGAAAGCGUGGGGAGCAAACAGG